rfam:Synechococcus sp. WH 5701 scf_1099465003791 genomic scaffold, whole genome shotgun sequence.
CUUAUACUUCCGCCAGCGGUCCCCUCAUCGGGGCCCCAGCUCCAGUGCUGGCAGCGGCUUUCGGUCUUUUCCGAAGCCACUCCGCACUGGUGCCCAUGGUUCCAAGGAUCUCGAUCCACGGAACCGUGAGGCCCACCGGCCUGGCCUUUCGGCCCGGUCCGGAGGGGUGGACCUCCACCUCGACUCCGUCCCUCGAGGAACGUCUCGAUGA